rnacentral:misc_RNA from 1 species
GAUGAAGAACGUAGCGAAAUGCGAUAAGUAAUGUGAAUUGCAGAAUUCAGUGAAUCAUCGAAUCUUUGAACGCACAUUGCGCCCGCCAGUAUUCUGGCGGGCAUGCCUGUUCGAGCGUCAUUUCAACCAUCAAGCCCCCGGCUUGUGUUGGGGACCUGCGGCUGCCGCAGGCCCUGAAAACCAGUGGCGGGCUCGCUGUCACACCGAGCGUAGUAGAUUUUCAUCUCGCUCAGGGCGUGCUGCGGGUUCCGGCCGUAAAAAGCCUUAUUUACCCAAGGUUGACCUCGGAUCAGGUAGGAAGACCCGCUGAACUUAAGCAUAUCAAAGCGGAGGA